UACGGAAGGUAGCAGUGGGGAAUAUUGCACAAUGGGCGCAAGCCUGAUGCAGCCAUGCCGCGUGUAUGAAGAAGGCCUUCGGGUUGUAAAGUACUUUCAGUCGUGAGGAAGGUGUUAAGGUUAAUAACCUUAGCAAUUGACGUUAGCGACAGAAGAAGCACCGGCUAACUCCGUGCCAGCAGCCGCGGUAAUACGGAGGGUGCGAGCGUUAAUCGGAAUUACUGGGCGUAAAGGGCACGCAGGCGGUUAAUUAAGUUGGAUGUGAAAUCCCCGGGCUUAACCUGGGAAUGGCAUUCAAGACUGGUUAGCUAGAGUCUUGUAGAGGGGGUUAGAAUUCCAUGUGUAGCGGUGAAAUGCGUAGAGAUGUGGAGGAAUACCGGUGGCGAAGGCGGCCCCUGGCAAAGGACUGACGCUCAUGUGCGAAAGCGUGGGGAGCGAAAC
rnacentral:rRNA from 1 species